rnacentral:lncRNA from 1 species
CAAAAGGCUUUGGUCAUCUUUCCUUAGUGGUUGUUUCUAUGGUCUCUUGUGUUGUUGCUUGCGAUGUCUUGGCGAUUGGUUUUGUUGUCCUGGCUCGAUCCUAUUGUCUUUGGAUGUUCUUAUUAUGGGUUUCUUCCUCCAGGGCUGUCAUUGUCCUUCCUGCCUCUGUCAUUUUUGUGCUCGUUUGGCCUCUGUGUGAGAGUUCUGGCUGUAACGCCUAUAUAGUUGGCUUCCCUAUUUUCAGCGGGGUAAUUGGUUGAUAUACUGUACACUCAUACCAAUCAAUCCACUCAGAUCCAAGAGGCCAGCAUGAAACACCAAGAGUGUACAGCA